rnacentral:lncRNA from 10 species
CCUUCUGGGAGGUCCCCGAGGAGGAUGCGAGCCUGGGAGGUUGUUCCAUUUCCACGCGCCCCUCACGCCCUUGGACGAGGCCCUCACCCCUGGUUCCACUGCAGGAGACCUGUUAAAGGUCAUCCGUGGACCGAAAUGCGCGCCCGAAGCAACCAAGAGCAGAGGCGGGCGAACGCGGGAGGCUGGCCGCCCCAGUGUGUGGUCGGAUGUUGUGUGCUGGAUCUCGUGCGAAGGUUCCGAGGACACUAUCGCGUGGCGUUUCAUCCUAAAGACACUUAUUUACAGUCGGGGAAGCGGCCCCGGGACGACGAGGGCCCGAGGGACCCCUCCCCUGGGGCCGGCGCUCAGGCCUGCCGCGGCUUUCACUUCUGGCCGGCCUCUUGAAGAUACGCAGCACUUCCAGAAAGUUCCUCUCAGGCCUGGAGAAGCAGGAUGGCCCGAGGCGCUGGGAAGUGAGGGGAGGGUCCAGAGCCCAGCCCUGCCUGGGGAAGGUCGCGGCCGUCUGGGGAGCCGCGCUCAGGCCCCAGCUUGCGGAGACCCUUGCCGGUUUCUGUCACAGCACACCUGGGAGAAAGCGCUGGUGACAGGUGCUCUCCUCCCACCCACGUGCUUCGGGAUCGUUCAUUCCGCGGUCUUCUGACUACCACCCCCUCACGUGCAUGUUUGCUGAAUGACUUUUUAAAAAAUACAUGGAAAAGUGCCGGCACAUAAGCCCUGAAUGUUAGCUUUAAAAAUCGUAUCACGGCCGGGGGCGGUGAAUCACGUCUGUAAUCCCAGCACUUUGGGAGGCCCAGGCGGGCGGAUCACGAGGUUAGGAAAUCGAAACCAUCCUGGCUAACAACACGGUGAAACCCUGUCUCUACUAAAAAUACAAAAAAAUUAGCCAGGCGUGGAGGCACGCGCCUGUGGUCCCAGCUACUGGGGAAGCUGAGGCAGGAGAAUCGCCUAAACCCGGGAAGCGGAGGUUGUAGUGAGCCGAGAUCGCGCCACUGCACUCCAGCCUGGGUGACAGAGCGAGACUCCGUCUCAAAAAAUAAAUAAUAAAAAUCAUAUCACACAAUCUGCACCUUAUACUACUACACAAGC